AUGCGGUUCGUGGGUUCGGAUAUGUACCGAAAGAUCAUCAAAGAAGAAAGACGAUGAUGAUGAUGAUGAUGGAUUGAUAGCUAUAAGGUUCUGGAGGAGAUCGGUGUGGCUUUGUAAAUGGUGAGUGUUACCAACUUACCAUCAUUCGUUUUCUAUUUCUUCUUGGCUUUGAUAGUUUGAUAUCAUCAUAUUCAUUCAUUCCUAUAAUCCUAUCUAAGUAGCUAUUGUUUUUUACAUUUUAUGUAAUUUACUGUAUGUUGAUCUAUGACUCUAUGUUAAUGUACUAUGUAGUGUUAAAGGAUAGGAAGAUUGUUGGUCAAUCUUGUUUCACUGAAAUAAACAAACUAAUUGGUCAAGUUAAUUGCGACUAACCAAUUGACCAAUUCAAUUACAAGUUUACAACUACUCUAGACUGAAGUACUGAACUGAGGUCGUUAGUGACCGACCUAUAAAACACAGUGUGUGUCUGUGUAGGCAAGAAAUGAUUGUUCAGUAGUUCAGUGAAUUGUUCUACAAAUGUGAGAAACUAAGUAAUAAUCCAUUAAUGCUUUUUAAUUACCAUCUCAUGAUUAUUAUCUAAAACACACAACACAAGGCUAGCUAGUUAUAUAGACAAUGUAGUAAUUAACUAAUCAACAAAAUAAAAUUAUCUGUUUGGCAAGUGGGAUAUGUCCAACUUGUUGGAAACAAUUAAUACACCAACAGACAAUUAUUUAACAGAUCCACCACCUUCUCAGCCAUGUUCCAUCUGGGUCACCAGUCCACCACUUAGGUGUCUUAACUUUUAAGAGAAUUCAUACAUUCCAUGUGAGCCUUGUUCUUGUUGUUCAUGAUUGACUUUCGUAACUUUGAUGUGUAAACCAUUUGGGAGUACUACCCCAAGUGUCUGUUUUAUUUCUCCACCCUUGAUUUUCGUCCACCUACAAAAGUUCAUUAUGCUAAAUCACUGCUGCAAUGUGGAUCUGCUAUUCCAAAAGUAAACAUUCAUUUUUAUGUACAAAGAACUCGAUUACAAGUACAGUAUAUACCUGUAUUUUGUGACCAAGAAAUGAAGAACAACAGACAUUUGCAGCUUUGUGUACUCUGAUCCAGCGCAUAGUCUCAUUCCUCCACCAAAAGGCAUGAAAUUCUUUGAUGCUGUGUUUGAUCCUUGACCCUAAUUUGAGGUAGGAAACAAGUAUCUUAAUAUGCCUCUUACAACAAAUACUGUAACAAACAUCCUUAGAGACAAGAAAACUCACCUUCCAUCUCCACGGGUUGAAGGAAAGGGGAUCUCGGUACUUUUCAGGGUUAAGAUGAAUAGCUGGAGGGCAAACCAUGAUUGCCCAGCCAGAUGGAAUUGUGUAUCCUGUAUGUGAAAUGAAUUAUAACGAGUUCCAAAUAUAGAUCAGUAUAGUAAGCUAGCUAGAUGUGGCCUGUGUUGGUUUUUUUGUGGAAAAGAGGACGGAGGAAAGUUUUUUGUCUGGGAACGCACGUACGUAGUUAGGGCGUACGUACGUCCCGUAUCACAGACAACUUUGUUUUUGCUGAACGUACGAACGUGUAUUCGACGUACGAACGUUGAUGGUAUCAUUCAGGAACGUACGUACGUAGUUAGGGCGUACGUACGUCCUGUAGCACAGACUACUUCUCUGUGGUCCGACGUACGAACGUUCGUUUGACGUACGUACGUCCUUCUUUGCUUUUGUGCUAUAUGGGCCCUGUUUAAGCCCAUUUCGUAUUUGAUUGUAAGGCUAUGUUAUAAAGCCAAUGAGAAGGUUGGAAAAUCUAAUCUGGAUGAGAGAGAGAUUGUGAGAAGUCAUUAGAGAGUUUGAAAGAACUUUUGUGAGGAAGAACACUUUGGUUUCUUCGUGAGGGCUUGCAUAAUCGUCUCUAUAAGAAAGAUUGUUUGUUUGUCCGUGGAGGUAGGCAAUAUUAGCCGAACCACGUAAAUCUUGUGUUUUGUGUGGGUUUGUUUUUGUUUUGUUUUGUUUCGUUUAAUUCAUACACUAUUUCAAUCUUGGGUAUUGGUGCAUAAGUUUCCGCUGCGCACAACAAGUGGCAUCAGAGCUGCAGGCUAGAUCUUGAGCGUCUUGAAGGUGUUUGAAGAAAUUCCGUAGUGAGUUUCUUAUUUGUGUUUCAAGCCAAAAGUUCUACCUUUUAUCCGUGGGUUGUCAAGAAGGCGUUUGUUGAAAUUCCUGUGUGAAUUUUCAGAUUUGUUUACCUUCGUUUGGUGAUUGUUUAGUGUGUGAAAGUGAUUAGUAAUGUCAGACCCAUCUUCGAGUAAGAAUGGAAGAGUGUCAUCUUUGAAGUUUGACAUCGAGAAAUUUAAUGGUAGAAACAACUUCGGUAUGUGGCAGUGCGAAGUUUUGGAUUUGCUUGCUCAACAAAGUUUGGAAGAUGCUUUGGGUGAUAAACCCGAAAAGAUGAAAGAAGAUGAUUGGUUGAAGUUGAAUAGGCAAGUUUGUGGCGUGAUUCGCCUUUGUUUGGAAAAGGAUCAGAAAUACUCGGUUAUUAAAGAAACGUCUGCUAAGGAGUUGAGGAAGAAAUUGGCUGAUAUGUAUAUGAAGAAAAGUUUGGAAACCAAGUUGUUUUUGAAGAAGAGGGUCUUCUGCAUCGAUAUGAGACCUGGUAUUUCUUUGUCUGAACAUCUGGAUGAAUUCAAUAGGGUUAUUGCUGACCUAUUGAAUUUGGAUGAGGUUGUUAGUGAUAACGACAAGUCUCUAUGUCUUUUGAAUUCUUUCCCCGAUGAAUAUGACCAUUUGUCCACCACUUUGUUGACGGGGAAAGAAUAUGUUAAGUAUGCUGAUGUAGCAACGUCGUUACUGAACUAUGAAUGCAGGCGCAAGGACAAAGAAGUCCAUAGGGGUUCAGGUUCAACGUCUGAGGCUUUGAUUGUAAGGGGACAAUCCAAUGAUCGUACUACUGGUAGCGGAGGAAGAUCUCGAUCAAAGUCUAGAGGUAAACCUCUAGCAAAGGAUGAGUGUGCCUUUUGUCAUGGAAAAGGCCAUUGGAAGGUUGAUUGUCCCAUGUUGUCAAAGAAGGAAGAUUUUACGCCUUCCAAAGAUAAUAAGGUAAAUGUCGCACAUGCUGCUGAUAGUGAUGAUGAUUCAAAUUAUUCUUUGGCUGUUAUGGUUGAUUGCUCCACUCAACGGUGGAUUAUGGAUUUUGCAUGUUUUCACCAUUUGUGUCAUAGUAGAGAUUUGUUUGCUAGUUUUCAAAAGCUAGAUUGUGAUGAUGUUGUGUUAGGUGAUGGUCGUCACUUGAAAACACUUGGUGUGGGAACUAUCAAGUUGAAGUUGGAGAAUGGUACAGUUAAAGAAUUAGUUGGUGUCCGGUAUGUUCCGGAGUUGAAGAUGAAUUUCAUCUCACUUGGUACUUUAGAGUCCGAAGGUAUGAAGAUUAGUAUGAAAGAUGGGACUUUAAAGGUUGUUUCUGGUGCUUUGGUUGUUAUGAGAGGGACAAGGCAACGAAAUUUGUACUAUCUUAAUGGUAGUGUUGUUGGUUGUGGUGGAGAUUCUUCUUCACAUUUGGUGGAUUGUUUGACUCCUCCCAGUUUGUCAGAUUGUUUGGUUGAUUGUGGCUUUGGUAGGCGUAUCGACAAGCAUGGCUUGUUGAAUGGUGGUAAGAUACGUAAAGUUUCUUUUGUGCAUCCUUGUUUGGAUGAUAGUUUGAAGUUGGAAGAGAUAUCUCAGCAGGUGGAGAUUGAUGCCGCUCCAUAUGAAAGUUUGUCUGGUAACAUAGCUGAUGUUAGUUUGCUAGCCACAGAUGUUUGUUUGAAGGUUCAAGCCCAUGAGCCAAUUGUAGUUGUGAAGCCGUUGUUUGGAGACCUUUGUAGGUUUCGGGGUGUUGAUUCAUACUCAUCUUCAGUCGGUUAUGGUCAUAAAGUGGAGAUAGUAUUUGGUAGUUUGGACCCCAUUGGUUUGAAUUGUGUUUGUUGGCCCUCUACGGGCAUUGAUGGGCAUUUGUUCUGAUUUGGCCCCUUUAGGGGAUUUGACCCCUCGGGGUAUGAUGGGCAUCGUAUAGAUGCCAGUAGAGUGAACUACGAUGGCUUGAUCCCUUAGGAGAAGGGUACUUAGGCAACCAUGAGGUGGUGCAGCCGAGAUGGUCCUUCGGGACAAGUAUGGGAGUUUGGGACUUGGUGUCGGCUUAGAUUUAUUGAAUCUUCGCCGAGGUGGAGAAUUGUUGGUUUUUUUGUGGAAAAGAGGACGGAGGAAAGUUUUUUGUCUGGGAACGUAUGUACGUAGUUAGGGCGUACGUACGUCCCGUAUCACAUACAACUUUGUUUUUGCUGAACGUACGAACGUGUAUUCGACGUACGAAUGUUGAUGGUAUCAUUCAGGAACGUACGUACGUAGUUAGGGCGUACGUACGUCCUGUAGCACAAACUAUUUCUCCGUGGUCCGACGUACGAACGUUCGUUCAACGUACGUACGUCCUUCUUUGCUUUUGUGCUAUAUGGGCCCUGUUUAAGCCCAUUUCGUGUUUGAUUGUAAGGCUAUGUUAUAAAGCCAAUGAGAAGGUUGGAAAACCUAAUCUGGAUGAGAGAGAGAUUGUGAGAAGCCAUGAGAGAGUUUGAAAGAACUUUUGUGAGGAAGAACACUUUGGUUUCUUCGUGAGGGCUUGUAUAAUCGUCUUUAUAAGAAAGAUUGUUUGUUUGUCCGUGGAGGUAGGCAAUAUUAGCCGAACCACGUAAAUCUUGUGUUUUGUGUGGGUUUGUUUUUGUUUUUGUUUUGUUUCGUUUAAUUCAUACACUAUUUCAAUCUUGGGUAUUGGUGCAUAAGUUUCCGCUGCGCACAACAGCCUGUAGUAUAUAUAUAGUUUCCCUUUCCCUUGAUAUUUUUAUGUGUUUAAAUAUGUAAUGUGUGAUAGUGGUUCUUCUUAAACCAUAAAGAUUGUCACUUUUGUUGAUUUAGAUUUUCAUGAAUUUCAUACUCGGUUUUUCGAGGGGUAUGGCAUUUGUAGUUACAUGAUUGUCAGUACAAUUUGCACAUUUUGAAAAUAAAAUGUAGAUGGUUUGCUUACCGUUUACUUGGAUAUCUUUUGUAGCUUUUCUAAACAUCAUUGGAUUGAUAUUUCCCAACCUAAGUGUUUCAUCAAUAACCUGCAUUCAGUCAUAGAAAACAUUAUUUUAUGUAAAACCACAUCCAAGGACAACAUCAAGUAUGCCAUACAAAUAUUUAAAGAUUGCUAGGCUCACAUGAGAUGUGAAGGUCAUGGAUUUGUAUUCUUUCCAUGUGAUUGCAGAGUCCACAUUUCCUCUGUUUUUCAGAAUGUUUUCAUGCUCAUCCUAUUGAAGAAGACGAAGAAAGAAACUGAUACUAAAAACCUUAUCAAUAAAAAUACAAUGAACUAGUGAUAAAUAAAAAUGAAAAGUUUUUUGUACAAACUGUUAAUUCCUUUAGCACUGUCGGAUGUUCUGAAAUAAACUUAAUUGCUAAAGUUAGAGCUAACGAGAUUGUCUCAAAGCUGGCUACAAGAAUUGCGAAGACAAGAUAAGUAGCCGACUCAACAUCAAAAACUGGUUCAUCUUUCUUCAUCUCGCCGAUAAUAACAUCAAGGAAAUCCCCAUGUUGGCUAGCAUGAGUAUUCAAUCUCUCUGUCACCAUAUCCUUGAGUACUGACAUAGCCUUCCUUUGAUCCUGAAAACGGUUUUUGUGAAGGCAAUCACAAAAUAAUAAAUCAAUUUAACUAACAAAAAUAAGGAUAUAUUUGAACAAGUAGAUGUAGUACCUUGAGACAUUUAUGGAAAGUAGUCCCAGGGAUGUUCAAUGGAAAAGCCAUUAGACCUUGUAAAAAGCCGGUAAACAUAUCCUUCAAACUUUCAGAAUACUUGGAUGGAUCAUAACUCAAUAGCUUCUUUGAAGCCAAACCAAAUGCCAUCUACCAAAGAAACCACAAUUAAUAAAGAAAAAAACAUAUAACAUAGCAAUGGAGUGAAAGAGACUAUAUAUGAAGCUGAAUUUACAGUUGUGGUAACUUCUUUCACUUCGACAGAAGCUUGUUUAGCCCAAGUGUCGAUAUUUCUCCUUGCAAUCUCUUCCAUUUCAAUGAGAAGUGUUUCCUUCUGUUUCUCAGUGCCAAAAUAAUUCAACACUAUAGUCCUUAUGUACUUAUGAACAUUCAAAUUUUGUUUCUCAACAACCUUCUUAAAAGAUUCCAUGAACCAUAUAUUUAACUCAACUGAAUUGCCUUCUUGUUGAAAGAGGAAAUGGCUGAAUUCAGGAUCAGUAGAUAUUACAACUGGUCGACGAGCUAAAUUAGUCUUAAAAACUGGACCAUAUCUGAAAAAUCACACAAAGAUCAACGUAACGUCUAUUGUUUCAUCAUAUCUACGUACGGGAAUAUUACACAAAGUGUUCAUCACAAAAAUUGUUCAAAUAGGAACAAACAAUGAAAGUGAGAAUCGGAAUACCUUUGCAUUCGUUUCUUGACAAAAGGGUGAAUGUCGAAGGACGCUUGAGAUGUAAGAAGUUGAAGAGUUUCUCCUACCAAAGGUAAUCCCAUAGAACCAGGAGGGAGCUUUCCAUUGCAUUUGGGAUUUCUCCAUUUAUGGACCAAAUGUGUUAUGUAAACAAUCGCCAAAGCCACAACAAAUAAUGCAAUCGACGACAUACUUACAAUGAGAUAAAACCUAUAGAACUAUAGACCAAGAAAUUUUAAUGUUUUGAUGUGUCUCAUGACAAUAGCAGAGAUGAACUUUUAUAUAGAGGAGAUGGAGAUGCAUGUGAAUUGGCGGUUGGGUGUUAAUGCUUAUUCAGAACACUUGAUAUUUUAUACUUGAUAGUGAUAGUCAACCUUGACACCUUGUAGGGUUGUAACUUGAUAAUAGUUUCUAGGUGGUUUAUUCCUCACGAUGUGGAUUAAGGAAGUAAAAACCUUGAUGAACAGGGCUAAGUCACUUGUUCUCUAAAUUCCAUGUUGUACACAAAGGAUUUUAUUUUUUGUUUAUUUGGUGUCCAAGAAUUGACCAUACUGCAAGUCAGCCACCUCCACCAUUCUGUUUGCUAAACAACCUGUUAUUAUGAUUUAAAUAAUACUUAGGCGAAAAAAGAACUGCAACGAUUGAUUGAAGUAGAAUAAUAUUGAAGAACAAAAUAUGGGUCGAAAAUGAAGAACCAAAAAUUUGUCAAAUUUGAAAAUUCAUUUGAUCGAUCAAUCCCCUCUUUGAAGUUGGACUGGAUAUCGGAAAAUUCUAACUAUCAAAGCCUUUUUUUUUUUUUACUCAGGUUUGAAUGUGGACAUCCACUGGUGUGUUCAAAUUUGUUUUAUGGGUUGUUCACUGGCUGCUGAGGAGUAAGAUCUGGCAAUAAUUGUAAAAGCAAGGAUCAAAGAUCGAUGUACCAUGACUCACAAAAAUUGGUACAGUAUAUACACAGUUUAAUUAUUUAUAGAAUAUUACUGAAUUAUUAUUUGUGAUACUGUAUAUGUAUGUAUGUUCCAAUAAUAAAACUGCAUCUAGUAGCUUUGUCAGACUUGAAACUUACAAGCAUGACUCAAUUUAAAAUUACUGAAAACAGUGUGACCAGAUCCAAAACUAAAGGAAGUACAACAAAGGCAUAAUGUAUACAGGAGUGCCUGGAGAACU
rnacentral:lncRNA from 1 species